rnacentral:rRNA from 1 species
GAUAAACGCUAGCGGCAGGCUUAAUACAUGCAAGUCGAACGGUAACAUGGAAGCAAUUCUGAUGACGAGUGGCGCACGGGUGCGUAACACGUAUGCAAUCUACCUUUAACCAGAGAAUAGCCCAGAGAAAUUUGGAUUAAUACUCUAUAGUAUUAUGAAGUGGCAUCACUUUAUACUUAAAGCUUCGGCGGUUAUAGAUGAGCAUGCGGGACAUUAGCUAGUUGGUAAGGUAACGGCUUACCAAGGCGACGAUGUCUAGGGGGUCUGAGAGGAUGUCCCCCCACACUGGUACUGAGAUACGGACCAGACUCCUACGGGAGGCAGCAGUAAGGAAUAUUGGUCAAUGGACGCAAGCCUGAACCAGCCAUCCCGCGUGCAGGAAGACGGCCCUAUGGGUUGUAAACUGCUUUUCCGAAAGGCGAAACUUAGCGACGUGUCGUUAAUUGACGGU